CUCUCAUUUUGACCACAUAAGGGAACUUUUCCUUGCGUGUCGCCCAAAUUAUUGCCAAUUUGGACAAUUGUUUUUUCGGUUAGGCUAAGAGUCGUAGCCCUGAAACACCUGUAAUUACCGCUCAGGCCAACUGCAAUUGAACCCGUCCGAGGGGAAAGAGUUUAGAAAGCUGCCAAGAGAUGAAAUACCGUUUAGCUGACAGUUUUGUAAUACUCCGCCCACUGAUUUGCAUUUCGCGCUGGAAUUAUCAAGGGGCCAUCACUCAAUUAUCCGAACACAUCGUUUUGCAUAAUUAGACAAUGAAUAUCGUGAUUGGCAACACCUCAUGCGAUCCACUGCAGAAUAUAUGUACUCGUAUACCUGGCCGCAAUAAAUUCGAGAUGUCAGCAAACUUCUUCGUGUGCCUGCAAAUAAAAGAACAGGAAGCAAGAACAAAAAAACAAGGUAGAAAAGUGAAAAUUUCGCAAAAUUGGCUACAAUUU